rnacentral:lncRNA from 1 species
AAAAAUGUUGAAGUGUAUUUUUUUAAAAUGAUGUGGCAUUGAAUGAAUUAUUUGUUAAUUACACGUAACAUCAGAAAUUUCCAUUAAAAAAAAUUCCCCAUUAACUUCGUCUUCUCCACAAAAACCUCUUCACCUCCAAAUCUUCCUCCAACCUUCAAUUCCAAAGUUUUAACCUUUCCCUCCUUCAAACUCAAACCCUCCCUCUCUUUCUCUCAUUUAUCCAC